AGGGGUGUAGCUCAAUUGGUAGAGUAGCGGUCUCCAAAACCGUUGGUUGGGGGUUCGAGCCCCUCCACCCCUGCCA
rnacentral:tRNA from 2 species